GUUCAAUCCGCUAUGGCGACCCCAGAUUAAUAAAGAGACUAAGCCAAAAGGAAAAUGAAUGAAUCAAUGAAUGAAUGUAAUGAGGAGGGAUAUAAGCAGGACUGUAAGACUGUAACAAAGGCAAAAGGCUUAUGAAGUGUAUGGCAAAUAAUAACAUUUAUUAUUAUUAUUAAUAUAGGAAUCAAAAUUAUAAAUAAAGCAGCAUUUAAUGUAUUCAUAUUCUGAAAAUUUAUGAAUGUAUGGCAAUUAUGAUUACAACUAAUGCUGGUGAAAAUAUUGGCAUGAGUUAAAGUAGAAAGGAAUAUUAAAAAUAUUUAAUAUCAUAAUAUGACAAUUUUAACAUUUUGUCCAUUUUGAAUUAUGUGUAACUUUAAAAGUGAUACACAAAGGAUAUAAAUACCAUGAUUAGAGUCUGAUAUUAUUAGCUGAUAAUGGUGAUAAUUUGAAAACUUUCACGUGGUCGAAGACAGAUUGCAGUACACACAAGAUUAUGGAAUGGCAUUACAUGUUUUUUUUUCCAUAUCUGAGCCUUCAAUGUAUAAUUUUUAACACAAGUAGUCUGUCAAUACAUUCAAGUACCACAAGAUGGCAAUAGCUGAAAUUUCACAUGUAUACCACCAACAACGUUACAUUUAUGAUUUUGGCUUCCUCUUCUUCGGAGCGCGGCCGUGGAGGUGAUGAGUCCUUGAUGAGUUUAACACGAACCCGCUUACCCUGCGCAAGCACUUCUUCAACCUCUUCUCUGGACUCUGGAAUGUUAAUAACACUUAAUAAUGCCAAAUCGCAAGUACAAACUGUACUUAGAGCCGAAGAGCACAGUUAAAUUUCCCCAUGGAAGACUAAAAAGAGGACAAUUGGAUGUGACAGAAGGUUUGGAAUCACUUACUGCCGAUGAUGAGGUGAGAGAA